rnacentral:RNase_P_RNA from 1 species
GUGAGUCGGGAAGCUGACUACGGAAAUAGCCAUUAAAUUGGCAAAAGUUCAAAAGAAAUGAAUUUUAUUUCUGAGGAAGGUCCGGACAUCAUUAAGAAGCGACCUAUUGAAAAGUAGGCUCUCGCGAGGGAGAGCUCCGCAACAGAAACGACACCGCUCUUUCAGAGAAAUGAACCUUGAGGGAAUCUGAGAAGAAAGAGAAAGGAUGAAACGGGCGACUUCGCUGAUGCAAGUGCCAUAGCCGCACGCAUAGACAGAUGUCAGCACGAACUGUCUGUCCAGAAAUGGAACAGAGUUCGACAGAAUCUGGCCUAAUCCCGACUCAC